UAGUCUACAUUGUCCUUUACUAUAUUCCAAUUAGAAUUUUGGUAUCACAGGCAGCUGGUGGUUUACGUCUGUGUAUGUGAAAAGUACCGUUGUGAAAUUUUUUGUUUUCAAAAAUUAUAAAAGGUGUCAAAUUGAUUUAAAUAGUGUAAUUUUUGUAAACUGUUUAUUGUUAAAAGUGGAAAACAUACAAAACUGCAAAUAUUUAUUAAAGCGUCGUAAAUUUAGCACAUUACCAUCAUGGAGAAUAUGGAGCUCUCUUUUACUUUUGACGAGUUCAAUUAUGAGCGUGAUUUUAGUGCCGAUAACUUCGAAUUUGAAUGUUUAUGGGCUGAGUAUGCCGAAGAGAUGCAGCGGCUUGAUGAAUUCGUAGACUUAGAGCAACGAUUUGCCAAACAGUUGACAAUAUCGGACACAUCUUAAAAGAAUAUACGUUUUAUGGGCCCACAUGUUAAUAUGUUACUCAUUUUAAGGAAUACAUUAUCAGCAUUUUUUUGCAGAGCAAAGCAAGUGCUUACGUUAAUAAAUAUUUAAAAUGUGCAGUAAAACUGUUCUAAAACAGUGCAAAUAACCCAUUGUCAUCAUAUCGAUAUUCAUGGCUUUAAUUUGUAUAUAUAUUUUUUCAAAAAAUCUCAUGGGUUUUACUUUUGUAUACCAAAUGCAUCAAUGUUCGCAUUAAUGUUUUGUAUUUUUUUUUUUUUGUGCAAUUUAAAUGUAUAAUACAUUUGAGAAAUGUACACAUCUACAUAUAUAUGUCAGUAUGUGUGUAUUAUCUCUACAAAUUGCCGUUGGGACAUUUAAAUUAUUUUACACCUCUCAAAUGUAUAUUAUCACUUAAAUCGUCUUUGUAAAAAAAUAUUAGUAUAAACCUGUACUUACAUGUUUAGCGUUAAUUUUUAAAACAAAUAUUUUACAAGUUUGUCAUAUGACGCCAACUUGCCAAAGUAAUGGUAUCGGUAUUUUUGUAUUUCAAGUUUUAUUUAACAUUUUUAACCCAAUCAUAUGUGCGAUACAACCUACCAAUUAUUUGUUUAAAUCUUUACAUACGUUUUCGGUCACUAAAUGGCUUCUUAUAUUGCAUAUGACUACAUUUUAUGAAUAUUUUUAUUAUGUUCGAUUACAAAAAUGACAUGUCUAUAAUUGGCAGCAUUAUAUGUGUGUUCUCUCGUUAAGAGUUUCGUAAUCGAAAUUACAUACAUAAAUAUCUUCAUUCAAACGAACAGCAUGCAACUUAUUCAACUCCCUUUUUAUAUGAGUUACUAAAUUUUUUUAAGUAUUUAAUUUUUACUCGUAGUAUCAUUCUCUAUUUUUUGGUACAAAAACUAAGCUAUAUUAUUUAGCAAAUUUACAACCCUCUCAUUUUGUAGUUUGAGGGAAAUGUAUUAAUCACUAAAAAUUCUUUCGCAUAAAUUGAGCUUUCGAUUAAAAGUACAUUUAAUAACAUAAAUUUAAAAAAGCAAGUCUUCCAUCAAAAAUUAAAAAUAUUUUAUUAUCUAUUUUAAAAAACCAUAUUACAACCUUUUUUUUGCUAAAAACCCUUAAAAAUGGAAUAAUUGUUCGAAGAAUACACUAUACUGUAAUAUAUUCAUCGGAAAAUAACUGUUUAAGUAACUCGAUAGUCGUCUGUCAAUGCUAUUACACAAUUUCUAAGUAACUUAAUCUCAAAAUGCUGUCUGGGAAGUAUUUAAAAGACCUGCACUCAUCUACAUACAAAUGUAUAUACAUUAAUUACUGAUUGAUUGUAAACAUAUUAUAGAUCACAGUUUGUUUUUUGUGAGCAUUUAUUUAUUUUUUA